rnacentral:rRNA from 1 species
UACGUAGGGAGCAAGCGUUGUCCGGAAUCAUUGGGCGUAAAGCGCGCGUAGGUGGCCACAUAAGUCCGUUGUGAAAGCCAAAGGCUCAACCUUUGAAAGCCGAUGGAUACUGUGUGGCUAGAGUACGGAAGAGGCGAGUGGAAUUCCUGGUGUAGCGGUGGAAUGCGCAGAUAUCAGGAGGAACACCAAUAGCGAAGGCAGCUCGCUGGGACGUUACUGACGCUGAGGCGCGAAAGCGUGGGGAGCGAACAGG